AGGGCUUUAGUUUAUACAAAAAUAUAAGUUUUGCAUACUUAAGAAUAAAGUUCUA
rnacentral:tRNA from 1 species